rnacentral:rRNA from 1 species
UAAUACGAAGGGGGCUAGCGUUGCUCGGAAUCACUGGGCGUAAAGCGCACGUAGGCGGACUCUUAAGUCGGUGGUGAAAUCCUGGAGCUCAACUCCAGAACUGCCUUCGAUACUGAGAGUCUCGAGUCCGGGAGAGGUGAGUGGAACUGCGAGUGUAGAGGUGAAAUUCGUAGAUAUUCGCAAGAACACCAGUGGCGAAGGCG